UACGUAGGGUGCGAGCGUUGUCCGGAAUUAUUGGGCGUAAAGAGCUUGUAGGCGGCUUGUCGCGUCUGCUGUGAAAUUUCGGGGCUCAACCCCGAACUUGCAGUGGGUACGGGCAGACUAGAGUGUGGUAGGGGAGACUGGAAUUCCUGGUGUAGCGGUGAAAUGCGCAGAUAUCAGGAGGAACACCGAUGGCGAAGGCAGGUCUCU
rnacentral:rRNA from 1 species